GAGUUCACAGGAGGAAGCCAAACUUAUCCGCUGCCUCCAUCUGGGCUCGCUCCGUUGGGUCUCACAUUUUUGUCCUUGAGGAAGUUUAUUUUUUUUCAAAAUGCAUUUAAAGGAAAACACACCAAGGACACUGCUCAUGUUUGCCCCCUUGUUGAGUCUGGAUGACAUGGCUAGGAUAUUUUACUGGAGACAGAAACGGUGCCAGAUUACUGCAUGGACUGAUGCUGUGGCGACCGUCCACGGGGGGAUUCUGACUGAAAUGUCAGGGAAAAGCAAAUGGAAGCAGCCUCCUGAACAUCACAUUUUAAAAACAAAUUUAGAUAGUAUGUGUUUUUCCCAAUAAAGUGUUUUAACACUGUUUUACUUCAAGUGUUGUUUAACCAAAUAGAGAACGUGUAUAAAGGUCAGUGUUCACUUAUAAAACAGAGAGAAUUAUUCUCUCUGUCUAUACAGCUGGAUUAUUUUAUUCUGCUUUUCUUUUUUUUUUUUUACUCACAUGAGACUUAAAUUGGUUUCUUUACAGGACCAAGGAGACUGUGGCCUGGUUCCUACAGUAUUCUUCUGUUCUGCUCAAAUGCAAUAAGCAGUUUCAAGUUAUAUAUUUUUAAUGUUGUAUAAACAUAGAGAAAGCAUCAAAAAAUUCAAAAAACAAGCAAAAAAACCCAGAAGUGAAAUAUAUUUCCAUAAAUUAUAGUGCCGCGUCCCUCUCAUGUCCUACUUCCUGUUUUAUUCCUAACCUCUGGGUUGUUUAAAAAUUUCAGGUCAGGAAACAGACAGCUUCCUGGGAGCCUCAGUGCCCGAACCUUUCUUUCAGCUGAAAGUAUAACAGUCAAAAUAGGAAGUGAUGUCACGUGUGGGGCAGGAGGUACAAGGACAUGUUUCUGGUUGACAGGUGUGGCUUUGGUUUAAAUCCCUCACCACCAUCGACGGUCAACUUUAAAAA